UUACGUGAACACUCACAGAGAAGUGCUAUUCUCAGCAUUAAUCAGAGAAGCUUCCCUUUCAGUGAAAGGGUAGUGAAUGCAGAUGCCCGUGGCUGCUCUAGGUGCUAAAAAUAAGUGACAGUUGAGUGUUCGGCCAUAAAUAGAACAUUUAUGUGAUUCCAAACCCCUAAGGCUCAGAUAACAUCACUAAAGAGAAGACUUAGAGAAUGCAAGAGCCGGAAUAUAAGGAGAAGGACUGCAAAUAAAUUCUUAUGGGCACCAACCUGCCAUUGUGAUCAUGUUCUUACAGCAGGCCUAGUGGCUCGCUUGUACUUGGCCCGCAAAGGACAUGGCCUGUCAACAUCCAAUCUCAGAAGGGGGUGAAGAUCAAGAGGUCCUGCCCAUUUUGCUGAAUUAUUUUCUAUUGAUAGCCUGAGAAAGAUUCAUCGUAUCCAGUGGGAAGAUUAACAAGCUCCAGCACACUGGAAUGCCAUGGACCUAGCUGGAACGAUAGACUCAGCUAAGUUUCAAAACCAUAAAGCUGUUUGUCUGUGUACCAUCAAGCCAUCAUGUACAAACGAGCAAGGGACGUCAGGAUGGUUCUUAGUGAACUUCAGAAAGGACUCACUUCUCAACCCUGGACUAAGUCCUGGAAUCCACUACACAUGAAAGAUAGACCAAAGGCGAUGUGUACCUAGAAAUCCCCUGUCUUGCUUUUGGGUGGCUAUAUUUCUCAAUAUGGUUGCCUGCUCGCCCCCGAUCCCCUGCGUGUGUCUUAUUUCAGCAGCCUUCUUUUGACUCUUGCUUGGGAUUUCAGUGUGCUCAGGUCUUAUCUUCCCCUGUUAUUUUAACUUGCAUUUGCCUUAUACAGUGCUAAUAAAAGAGACAGUAAGAUUUUA